CUUUUUUAUAGCUGUUGAGCUUUGUUUUAUGGCGGAUAAAUUUUGCUUCUCUACAAAUGUAAUGAAAAUGUUGAUUUUGAUGGCAUAAACUUUAAGUAAAGCCAAUUAAAACCACCAUAAAUUGCAAUCUGACACAGGACCAGAGCAUUGCUGAAUACAGAAGCGGUCAUGGCAUGACCGGAGGCACGACUCAAAUCGAAGAGGCCCACAAUGUGUAGGCGUCGCACGCGUUGUGGCCGCGUUUGCAGCUGCCGAUUGAGUGACAUAUGCGGCACUUACCUUCCUGGAGAGCACCACUUCCGAGUUGAGACCAGUGCCAUUCUGUGACUGAUUCACAAACCAGAGAUUUUGUAGCUGCUCCCGGAGCUGCAGCCACUUGGUGCUAGUUGUUUCGAAGAUGGAGAACUGCAUCAUUAGCUCGACAUGAUGAGCGAGGGCCACAAAGACGAUAAAGAGGCACUCCCACAGGUGGAAAUUCUUGGCGUACUCGAUGUAUAUCCAGAGGCGAAAGACGGUGGCAAUAUUGAAGAUAUACGUG